rnacentral:pre_miRNA from 1 species
AAAAAGACAAACCCUGAGUUUCCGUAUCCAACUUUGACUGUCUGUCUUAUAUAAAAUUUUUUUAUAAUUCAUAUUUUUAUUUUGUUAGAUGAUAAAACAUAAUUAAUAUUUUAUACUUUACUUGUCUUUUUAAUUUUUUGAUAAUUUUUUUAAAUAAAAUAAAUGGUCAAAUGUUGGACACGGAAACCAAG